UACAGAGGGUGCAAGCGUUAAUCGGAAUUACUGGGCGUAAAGCGCGCGUAGGUGGUUUGUUAAGUUGAAUGUGAAAGCCCCGGGCUCAACCUGGGAACUGCAUCCAAAACUGGCAAGCUAGAGUAUGGUAGAGGGUGGUGGAAUUUCCUGGUGUAGCGGUGAAAUGCGUAGAAUAUAGGAAGGAACACCAGUGGCGAAGGCGACCACCUGGACUGAUACUGACACUGAGGUGCGAAAGCGUGGGGAGCAACAGG
rnacentral:rRNA from 1 species